rnacentral:rRNA from 1 species
UACGUAGGGUGCGAGCGUUAAUCGGAAUUACUGGGCGUAAAGCGGGCGCAGGCGGUUCGUUAAGUCAGAUGUGAAAGCCCCGGGCUCAACCUGGGAACUGCAUUUGAAACUGGCGGGCUUGAGUGUGGCAGAGGGGGGUGGAAUUCCGCGUGUAGCAGUGAAAUGCGUAGAGAUGCGGAGGAACACCGAUGGCGAAGGCAGCCCCCUGGGCCAACACUGACGCUCAGGCACGAAAGCGUGGGGAGCAAACAGG